rnacentral:lncRNA from 1 species
AGUAGGGAAUACAAUGAGUUGCCAACCUCUUUACCAGUGGAGGAGGGUGGCUUAUAUAGAGUGUGCUGCCCUCCACAACGGUUCUGGUACAGGGGUGGAGUAGUGGCGAUUGAAUGUGUACGUUACAGGUAACGUACGCCCUAAAUGCUAAUAAAUGCACCUGGAAACGUACGACCGUUUCCCUCCAGGGGGGUUACGAUGUACCGAGUGGUAUACAGUCGGUUAGCCUGAUAUGCUCCGAAUGUUAGUCCCGACUGGAGGACCGAGGGUAUGUUACCGACUGGACGACAGGGAUUCCUUAAUUCAGUCGGAGUUGACUAAGGGUCUAGUCCUUUGCGAGGGGU